rnacentral:piRNA from 1 species
UCAUCGUGAGGUUUGACCAAGGGCAGUGGGU